AGAUUGAACGCUGGCGGCAUGCCUAACACAUGCAAGUCGAACGGGAGUGGCAAUACUCUAGUGGCGGACGGGUGAGGAAUACGUAGGAAUUUGCCCUUAAGUGGGGGAUAACCCGGGGAAACCCGGAUUAAUACCGCAUGACCUCGAAAGAGCAAAGUGGGGGAUCGCAAGACCUCACGCUUUUGGAGAAGCCUACGUCGGAUUAGCUAGUUGGUGAGGUAAUGGCUCACCAAGGCGACGAUCCGUAACUGGUCUGAGAGGAUGAUCAGUCACACCGGAACUGAGACACGGUCCGGACUCCUACGGGAGGCAGCAGUGGGGAAUAGUUGGACAAUGGGCGCAAGCCUGAUCCAGCAAUGCCGCGUGUGUGAAGAAGGCCUUACGGGUUGUAAAGCUACGUUUAAGGUUAGGGAAGUAAAAACUCGACUACUAACACAGUAGAGUCUUGACGGUACCGACAGAAUAAGCACCGGACUAACUCUGUGCCAGCAGCCGAC
rnacentral:rRNA from 1 species